GACGAACGCUGGCGGCGUGCUUAACACAUGCAAGUCGAGCGGAAAGGCCCUUUCGGGGGUACUCGAGCGGCGAACGGGUGAGUAACACGUGAGUAAUCUGCCCCUGGCUUUGGGAUAGCCACCGGAAACGGUGAUUAAUACCGGAUACGACCACUUCUCGCAUGGGAUGGUGGUGGAAAGUUUUUCGGCCAGGGAUGUGCUCGCGGCCUAUCAGCUUGAUGGUGAGGUAAUGGCUCACCAUGGCUUCGACGGGUAGCCGGCCUGAGAGGGUGGCCGGGCACACUGGGACUGGGACACGGCCCAGACUCCUACGGGAGGCAGCAGUGGGGAAUAUUGGACAAUGGGCGGAAGCCUGAUCCAGCAACGCCGCGUGAGGGAUGACGGCCUUCGGGUUGUAAACCUCUUUCAGCAGGGACGAAGCGCAAGUGACGGUACCUGCAGAAGAAGCACCGGCCAACUACGUGCCAGCCGCCGCAGUAA
rnacentral:rRNA from 1 species